rnacentral:rRNA from 1 species
UACGAAGGGGGCUAGCGUUGCUCGGAAUUACUAGGCGUAAAGGGCAGGUAGGUGGUCUGGUUAGUCUGUUGUGAAAGCUCCUUGCUUAACGGGGAGAGGCCAACAGAUACUGCCAGGCUUGAGUAUAGGAGAGGGUACUGGAAUUCCCGGUGUAGCGGUGAAAUGCGCAGAGAUCGGGAGGAACACCAAUGGCGAAAGCAGUUCUCUGGGCCGUAACUGACGCUGAGGAGCGAAAGCGUGGGGAGCGAACAGG